rnacentral:snoRNA from 1 species
AUCCCAUGAUGAGGACACUUACGAAGUAACUCCUUGAGUCGCUCCCAAGCCUCAUACAAAGACUCGUCAUCCAAUUGUUAGAAAGUUGUGAUCGCGUUCCUCAACUU